UCCCUGGUGGCCUAGUAGUUAAGACUCAGCACUUUCACUGCUGAGGCCCAGGUUCAAUCCCUGGUCCCAGAA
rnacentral:tRNA from 1 species